rnacentral:rRNA from 1 species
CCCUUAGAUGUUCUGGGCCGCACGCGCGCUACACUGACAGAGCCAACGAGUUCUUCACCUUGGCCGGAAGGUCUGGGUAAUCUUGUUAAACUCUGUCGUGCUGGGGAUAGAGCAUUGCAAUUAUUGCUCUUCAACGAGGAAUGCCUAGUAAGCGCGUGUCAUCAGCACGCGUUGAUUACGUCCCUGCCCUUUGUACACACCGCCCGUCGCUACUACCGAUUGAAUGGCUCAGUGAGGCCUUCGGACUGGCUCAGGGAGGUUGGCAACGACCACCCCGAGCCGGAAAGUUCGUCAAACUCGGUCAUUUAGAGGAAGUAAAAGUCGUAACA